UGAGAGGAGUUGAUUUCUAUUGUUGUAUUACAAAUAGGCUCAAGGGCGAGAGGGAGGGGUUGUCGCGGAGUUGUUAUACAAAGCCCGAGGCCAGUAAUUUUACUCAGGGUAAGUCCUUUUGUUGAGCCUGUGUUCCAUCGGAGACUAGAGGGGCUGUUGGUAAAUGUCAGGUCUCCUCGGCGGGCUAUGCCCUCAUAGAAGGGUGGCAUGGCUGAGUAACAGAUCCAGCAUUCCUUAUCUCGGGUGUAAUUAAGAUUGUGGAGAGCAUGUGCUGAGGCGUACACGAGAGAAAGUAAUAACUGAGAAGAGGACGAGGGACUAGCAGGUAAGAUGGAAAGAUUUCUACUCCAAGCAUAAGUGAAAGAUGGAUUGGAAUGGACAAAGACAAGAAACAAGGAGGUCAAUUAAAGAUAUCAUGGUCCAGUUAUUGAAGUCCAGUGACAAGAUAAAAAUCAAGAUGACUGAUGAUGGACCAGGAUACAGUGGAUGACGUUCAUUUUUCAGAUAAAGAAACUAAGGAGCAGGGAGGCUUAUUUUACAGAUGGGGAACUGAGACAAACAGGGUGAAGUAGUGUCAGAAGACUUCGGUUAAAAUCCUGACUUCUCUUACUAUCUGAGGAGCAGAUGAAUAGCCAACAUGUCUCUCAAGAAAGAAUGCUGAAAGUCAUCCCACACCUGAAAUUGUGAAUUCCUCUGUUCCUGACACUCACAGACUUCUCCCCAGCAACUAAUUGUCAUGUCACAAAUGGAUAAGAAAUAAGACUUGAGGCAGAAACAGCAGGAGCAGUUGAACUGUGAAACCACUGAGAUCCAGCUUUCAUGCAAAAUAGCCUAAGUCACAAAAAUAAAAUGAAGAAAAUAUCUUAAAUGAAAAUGAAA